rnacentral:rRNA from 1 species
UACAGAGACUGCAAGCGUUAUUCGGAUUCACUGGGCGUAAAGGGUGCGCAGGCGGUUGUGUGUGUCAGGUGUGAAAGCCCGGGGCUUAACCCCGGAAUUGCGCCUGAAACUACAUGACUAGAGCAUUGGAGAGGGUAGCGGAAUUCACGGUGUAGCAGUGAAAUGCGUAGAUAUCGUGAGGAACACCAGAGGCGAAGGCGGCUACCUGGACAAUUGCUGACGCUCAGGCACGAAAGCGUGGGGGAGCAAAAGGG